GAGAGAGAAUGCUAAUGAGCUGUGAAAUGACCAAAGAUCUGGCAGCAGAAGGGAAAAGAAAAAAUAAUGGGAACAAGAGGAUUUAUCUGACUCAACUGGAGAUGGCUCCCUUCCCUAAUUUAUUGUUGCAUCCUGAAGCUUCCCCCAUGCUGGGCUCAGUGUGAACAAACAGCGCGGGAGAAUGCAACCACUGCAGAGGCAUAUGUUUGAGAUGCCUGGCCACUGGAGGUCAUCUCGUCUACUAUGUUCACCACAGAUAAAGAAUGAAAAGAGAAUAUACAACCUUGUGAUUGCUAGCAGUGAAAGCUCAGAGUUAUGACAUAACAAAGAGGGGCUUGAGCAGAGAGAAUGCUUAGAGGCUAAGCGAUGGGCAAGUGAGAGGGAAAGAGCCGCGACAGACAGAGCUGGCUGCCUAGGGGUCUCAGAGGCUUCAUCCUGCAGGCGGCAGGCGGCAGGACAAAGGGACCUUCGCACUCGAGAUCAAGAUUCCAAGGAGUUAAACGCUACCACGCAGCCCGACCUGGAUGGGAUUUGCUCCUGGGUACAAAACGGGACACUGAUCAAAAUCAACUUGGACAAGUGACAAGAGUGAGUCUUAUGUCGGUGGAUGUCUUUUAAGGUCGUUGGAGGGAAGAGGACGGGAGGGGUGUGCCGAGGGGUAGGUGGAGAGAGGCACCGAGUCCAGAGCCGGGAUAUAAAUGCACCAGGAGCCGGGGAGCAGAGGAGCAAAUGAGUGGGGGAAAGAGUGAGAGGAAGAGUUGGAGAAAAGUCGGGGGAAAGUAGGGACAGGGUUAAGGGGAGAGAGGAGGAUGAGGGCGGCGAGGAGAGAUUAAAAGGGGAAGGGGGGUCGCUGGAGAGGAGGGCGGACUGUGGAUCGGAGGUAGGGAGAGGGGCGAGGGGAGUGCGCGGGGUGGG
rnacentral:lncRNA from 1 species